rnacentral:lncRNA from 1 species
GAGAAGUCUCUGAUAUUGAAGAAGAUGAUGACGGGAGAAUUCUUCUAAGGUUUAAUUCUUAUAGAGAACAAAAAAACCCUCAAUACGUAUCCAAGAAGUUUCAUCAAGGAAUUCAUUUUCUGAAAGUUCUAAAUUUAAUUAUCCUAAUAUCAAAGUUAAUUACAAAUCUCCAAUUCCUUCGACUAGUUAUCAAACUGAAGAAGAAACACAUCAAGUAGGAUCUCUUACUAUUUCUCAAAUGGAAGAUCAAAUCAACAUGAUUUCUAAUAUGAAUUUCUCUAUUAAUUUUAAAUACCUCGAAAAAGAAUUCAAUGAUCCAGAAGAAAUCGAAAGAAAAGAAUGGUUUUUAAAACUAGAAAAACCUCUAAGAGAUAAACUUCAAAUUGAAUGGAUAAAAGGAUUACAUAAAUUAAAAUCUAAUAUCCCAAUUUUAGAUUGGUUUCAAGGAUACUGUCAGCUUAAUGAUAUUGAUAAUUAUGUCUACAAUCUUGAUCAAAUAAAUGUUCAAACAAGCCUUUAUAAAAAAAUGGAAAUUAACUACUGGUUCAAUAUUAACUUCCAUUCAUCCUCCUUUACAAAAUAUCAAAAUACAAAUUCCCAAUGGAGAAAUAUCUGCUACUCCAUUUCGUACUGGAAGAGACGGAGAAGAUAGUCCAAAAAUGAGCGAUAUCAAAAAACUCCACGAACAAAAUAAUUAUUCAAAUCAAAUCUUACAUACUAUCGCUGAACAAAUGGAUCAUAUUUCAUCAAAAAUGGAUUCACAAAAAAUAAUAAAUAAUUUCCUACAUAAUACUUCAAUACUUCAUUUUAUUCCUAGAAGUCUUCCUGAGAAAAUAGAAAACAAACUCAAAUUAUCUACUACUCAUAAUCUUAUUGAUAGAAUUUCUAAAAAGUUAGAGAGCCCUUCUGGUUCUGGAACAAAAAAUAUUAAUUGUUUAGAAAACCAAGAAAUAAUUCUGAUGAUAAUAAAAUCAAUAGAAUACAUUUUAAAUCUGGAACAAAAAACUAUUAUAAUAAUAGAUAUAGUCCUCCAGAUAUUCAAUUCGAGGAAAGACCUCAAUUCAAAAAUAAUUCCAAAUAUGAUGGUCACUCUAUUCACGAAUGGAAUAUUGAUGGUAGAUCAGAAUAUGAAAUUCUUAAUAUACUUCAAGAAAUGGGCAUGGCCAGAAUUGCUUACAAAGUUCAAAAUUUAACUGAAGAAAAUGCUGCAGCACUAAUAGUCAUGGGAUUUACCGGACAACUUAAAAACUGGUGGGAUAAUUCAUUAGAUAUCAAUGAUAAGCAACAAAUACUUCAACACGUAACCACAUUUGAAGAAGAAGACGGUACCUUUGUUGAUAAAAAUGAUGCCUGUGAUUUCUUAANCUAAUAUGAAUUUCUCUAUUAAUUUUAAAUACCUCGAAAAAGAAUUCAAUGAUCCAGAAGAAAUACGAAAGAAAAGUAAUGGUUUUUAAAAACUAGAAAAACCUCUAAGAGAUAAACUUCAAAUUGAAUGGAUAAAAGGAUUACAUAAAUUAAAAUCUAAUAUCCCAAUUUUAGAUUGGUUUCAAGGAUACUGUCAGCUUAAUGAUAUUGAUAAUUAUGUCUACAAUCUUGAUCAAAUAAAUGUUCAAACAAGCCUUUAUAAAAAAUGGAAAUUAACUACUGGUUCAAUAUUAACUUCCAUUCAUCCUCCUUUACAAAAUAUCAAAAUACAAAUUCCCAAUGGAGAAAUAUCUGCUACUCCAUUUCGUACUGGAAGAGACGGAGAAGAUAGUCCAAAAAUGAGCGAUAUCAAAAAACUCCACGAACAAAAUAAUUAUUCAAAUCAAAUCUUACAUACUAUCGCUGAACAAAUGGAUCAUAUUUCAUCAAAAAUGGAUUCACAAAAAUAAAUAAAUAAUUUUCCACAUAAUACUUCAAAUCUUCAUUUUAUUCCUAGAAGUCUUCCGGAGAAAAUAGAAAACAAACUCAAAUUAUCUACUACUCAUAAUCUUAUUGAUAGAAUCUCUAAAAAAUUAGAGAGUCCUUCAACUU